rnacentral:rRNA from 1 species
GAUGAACGCUAGCUACAGGCUUAACACAUGCAAGUCGAGGGGAAACGGCAUUUAGUGCUUGCACCGAAUGGACGUCGACCGGCGCACGGGUGAGUAACGCGUAUCCAACCUUCCCAUAACUAAGGGAUAACCUGCCGAAAGGCAGACUAAUACCUUAUGUAAUCCUUUGAUGGCAUCAGAUAAGGAUAAAAGAUUUAUCGGUUAUGGAUGGGGAUGCGUCUGAUUAGCUUGUUGGCGGGGUAACGGCCCACCAAGGCAACGAUCAGUAGGGGUUCUGAGAGGAAGGUCCCCCACAUUGGAACUGAGACACGGUCCAAACUCCUACGGGAGGCAGCAGUGAGGAAUAUUGGUCAAUGGACGGAAGUCUGAACCAGCCAAGUAGCGUGCAGGACGACGGCCCUAUGGGUUGUAAACUGCUUUUGUAUGGGGAUAAAGUCAAUCACGUGUGAUUGUUUGCAGGUACCAUACGAAUAAGGACCGGCUAAUUCCGUGCCAGCAGCCGCGGUAAUACGGAAGGUUCGGGCGUUAUCCGGAUUUAUUGGGUUUAAAGGGAGCGUAGGCCGGAGAUUAAGUGUGUUGUGAAAUGUAGACGCUCAACGUCUGACUUGCAGCGCAUACUGGUUUCCUUGAGUACGCACAACGUUGGCGGAAUUCGUCGUGUAGCGGUGAAAUGCUUAGAUAUGACGAAGAACUCCGAUUGCGAAGGCAGCUGACGGGAGCGCAACUGACGCUGAAGCUCGAAGGUGCGGGUAUCGAACAGG